UGGGGAAUUUUGCACAAUGGGGGAAACCCUGAUGCAGCGACGCCGCGUGAUUUAGAAGGUCUUCGGGUUGUAAAAAUCUUUUCUAUGGGAAGAAAAUGACAGUACCAUAGGAAUAAGGACCGGCUAAUUACGUGCCAGCAGCCGCGGUAAUACGUAAGGUCCGAGCGUUGUCCGGAAUCAUUGGGCGUAAAGGGUACGUAGGCGGGUAAGCAAGUUAGAAGUGAAAUCCUAGAGCUCAACUAUAGUAAGCUUUUAAAACUGCUCAUCUUGAGGUAUGGAAGGGAAAGUGGAAUUCCUAGUGUAGCGGUGAAAUGCGCAGAUAUUAGGAGGAAUACCGGUGGCGAAAGCGACUUUCUGGCCAUAACCUGACGCUGAGGUACGAAAGCGUGGGUAGCAAACAGG
rnacentral:rRNA from 1 species